GAUGAACGCUGGCGGCGUGCCUAAUACAUGCAAGUCGAACGAGAACGGAUUAUAGCUUGCUAUAAUUGUCAGCUAAGUGGCGCACGGGUGAGUAAUGUAUAGGUAAUAUGCCUCUUACUAAGGGAUAACAAAUGGAAACGUUUGCUAAUACCUUAUACUCCUUAUUAACAGAAGUUAAUAAGGGAAAGAUUUAUUGGUAAGAGAUUAGCCUGUAUUGUAUCAGUUAGUUGGUGGGGUAAUGGCUUACCAAGACUAUGACACAUAACUGGUUUGAGAGGAUGAUCAGUCACACUGGAACUGGGACACGGUCCAGACUCCUACGGGAGGCAGCAGUGGGGAAUAUUGCACAAUGGACGAAAGUCUGAUGCAGCAACGCCGCGUGGAGGAUGACACAUUUCGGUGCGUAAACUCCUUUUAUAUGAGAAGAUAAUGACGGUAUUAUAUGAAUAAGCACCGGCUAACUCCGUGCCAGCAGCCGCCGUAA
rnacentral:rRNA from 1 species